rnacentral:rRNA from 1 species
AGAGUUUGAUCUGGCUCAGGAUAAACGCUGGCGGCGUGCCUAACACAUGCAAGUCGAACGCCCUUAGCAAUAAGGGAGUGGCGGACGGGUGAGGAACACGUGGGUCAUCUACCUUGGGGUGAGGAAUACCACCGGGAAACCGGUGACAAUACCGCAUACGCUUGGCAACAAGCAAAGCCUUCGGGCGCCACAAGAUGAGCCUGCGGCCGAUUAGCUAGUUGGUGGGGUAAAAGCUCACCAAGGCGACGAUCGGUAACUGGUCUGAGAGGACGGUCAGUCACACUGGGAUUGAGAACGGCCCAGACUCCUACGGGGGGCAGCAGUGAGGAAUUUUCGUCAAUGGGGGAAACCCUGAACGAGCAACGCCGCGUGCAGGAAGACGGUCUUCGGAUUGUAAACUGCUUUUCUCUGGGACGAGAACGGACGGUACCAGAGGAAUCAGCUCCGGCUAACUACGUGCCAGCAGCCGCGGUA